CGUCUCAGUUCGGAUUGCAGGCUGCAACUCGCCUGUAUGAAGUCGGAAUUGCUAGUAAUCGCGGAUCAGCAUGCCGCGGUGAAUACGUUCCCGGGCCUUGUACACACCGCCCGUCACACCAUGAGAGCCGGGAACACCCGAAGUCCGUAGUCUAACCGUAAGGAGGACGCGGCCGAAGGUGGGUUUGGUAAUUGGGGUGAAGUCGUAACAAGGUAAC
rnacentral:rRNA from 1 species